GGGCAGGGGUGGGGCAAGCAAGGACCCUGAACCAAAGACCAUAGAGGUCCCUGGAACCUGGUGGAGGGAACGGGUGGGGUCUUGAUGUCAUAGCAGGAGUCAACAAUGGUCUUACCAGAAGUUGCCUUGCAAGUGCCUCUCUCCCAGGUUAAAACUAGUUGAUGGGUGGGGCACCCAAAUUGUCAUCAGCACCUCUACACUGGGGCAGCCCACACAUUGGGACAACUUGACAUAGCACUAAGAGCUCAAGCAACGUUCCCUGCAUGAAGAAAUCGUCCAAGGAACACGGCUUGCCCGUUUCCGCGCACUUUUCUUUCUUCGGACACAAAUGGGGUAUCGGUGCCUUUAAAAAAUAUACCACUUCUUGAUACGCCGCUCUUCCCUCCUCGCCGUGACAGAAGAGAAGCAAAGGGAGAAAACCCUUAAGCAAAAACUGCCGGUAAAGCAACCCCAUCGGACCCUGGAGGCCACUGCCUCUCUGCAGAGAGGAGCAGGGCGUACUUCAUUCUCCUAGCUCUGGGAACACCGCGGUUUCUGUCAAUUACUUUAUUGAUAUUUUCAGGUCACUUUAUUAGACUGCUCUUGACAGUGCCAGUGAGAAGAGGGCCACUGGUGGAAGGAAGGCAAAGGGAUGGAAGAACCAGGAUUUUGUUGUCCUACUGACUUUGAACAGUCUUGGCCUCUAAGAUAGGGUAGCCUGCGCAGGAGCGUGGCCUGAGGUCAGAGACAGUUCGUGUUUCCUGUGGUUUGCGAACUUGGCCAAGAGACUUUCUAAUCUAGGCUAGGCUCCCAUUGUAUGAAAGAGGGUAAGGUCAUUCAGUGAGAAAUCCUGUUUCUAGACAACACCCUUCUGAAUGAGAGACAGAGGGACAGAUUGGAAGCUGUUCAGGAAAUCACCAGUCACAGGCUCCAGGCCAAAGAGAUAGGCAAGGGCUAAAGCAAUGCCACUGGCAUAACUGAUCCCAACGCCAUAAAAAGCAAGGUGAGGACAGCCAUCAUACUUAGGUUCCAGUGAAAUGAAUGAUCUCAUUCCAUUCCACCAGCAUUCAUUAAUGUUCCUUAGUAAGCACCUAUCAUGAGCACCGGGGAAAUGAAGAUAAGGAUGCAGAAGCAUCCCUGCCUUCCAGGGGCUUACAUUCUAUUGGGACAAUCUACAACAAAUCCAUAAACGAGCAAAUCCAUAAUGGGUGAGAAAGGAGAAACUCUGAUGACUAAGUGGACCGGAAAGAAAUUUCCCUCUUUGUGUUUUUAAUUUAUUUUUAAUGGCAUUGUAUUUUUUCCAACUAUAUAUAAAGACUUCAUCUAUUUUUUUACAAGCAGUUAUUACAUCUUCCUCACAUUGCCGCCCUCCCCACAAACAGAAC
rnacentral:lncRNA from 1 species